AAAAUAUUUCCUUUCUCUUUUUUUCAGAUGAAGACAUGGAAGAUUAGGGAAGCUUAAUGAAUUGCCUAGAACUACUACCCCAUAGGAUUGAGAAUAAAAAUAAGCUCCCUACAUCUCUCUGGGUACCAAUCUUUGGAGCCAUUGUCUGCCAAGAGGGACUGGUAAUGCAAUCAUAGCCCGUCUACUGUAGGUUUUGCUAUUACGCUUAAGGACAGUGUUUGUAUACCUCAGAAAAUAGACUACAGAAAGUACUGGUAAUUAAGUAAGCUUUAGAAAUAUGAAGGUAGCACGCUAGUAGCUUCUCAGUGUUAGCCUUUUGCUACUACUACAGAAUCUUGAACAUAAAAAAUUAGUGCACAAUGGAGGAAGAUGGACAAGAUGUUGGCAGUUUAUUUUUUUUUUAUUUUUAUUUUUUUGUUGUUGGCAGUUUAGAAGACAAUCUCUGAGGUAAACAUCAUUCUCUGUUCUUCCUUCCUAAACUUGAUCAUUUGGAAGGUCACCCAAUAGGAAACAAAGUUAACUUAGUGAAUAAAAUGUGAUUACUUUUCAGA